rnacentral:rRNA from 1 species
CCUACGGGAGGCAGCAGUGGGGAAUAUUGCACAAUGGGGGAAACCCUGAUGCAGCGACGCCGCGUGAGUGAAGAAGUAUUUCGGUAUGUAAAGCUCUAUCAGCAGGGAAGAAAAUGACGGUACCUGAUUAAGAAGCCCCGGCUAACUACGUGCCAGCAGCCGCGGUAAGACGUAGGGGGCAAGCGUUAUCCGGAUUUACUGGGUGUAAAGGGAGCGUAGACGGCAGCACAAGUCUGUAGUGAAAUGCCGGGGCUUAACCCCGGAACUGCUUUGGAAACUGUGCAGCUAGAGUGCAGGUGAGGUAAGUGGAAUUCCUAGUGUAGCGGUGAAAUGCGUAGAUAUUAGGAGGAACACCAGUGGCGAAGGCGGCUUACUGGACUGUAACUGACGUUGAGGCUCAAAAGCGUGGGGAGCAAACAGGAUUAGAUACCCUGGUAGUC